rnacentral:rRNA from 1 species
AUUGAACGCUGGCGGCAUGCUUUACACAUGCAAGUCGAACGGCAGCGCGGGCUUCGGCCUGGCGGCGAGUGGCGAACGGGUGAGUAAUACAUCGGAACGUGCCCAGUAGUGGGGGAUAGCUCGGCGAAAGCCGGAUUAAUACCGCAUACGACCUGAGUGUGAAAGCGGGGGAUCUUCGGACCUCGCGCUAUUGGAGCGGGCGAUGGCAGAUUAGCUAGUUGGUGGGGUAAAGGCCUACCAAGGCGACGAUCUGUAGCUGGUCUGAGAAGACGACCAGCCACACUGGGACUGAGACACGGCCCAGACUCCUACGGGAGGCAGCAGUGGGGAAUUUUGGACAAUGGGCGAAAGCCUGAUCCAGCAAUGCCGCGUGUGUGAUGAAGGCCUUCGGGUUGUAAAGCACUUUUGGCGGGAACGAAAAGGACUGUGCCAAUACCACGGUUCGAUGACGGUACCCGAAGAAUAAGCACCGGCUAACUACGUG